UACAGAGGGGGCGAGCGUUAUUCGGAAUUACUGGGCGUAAAGGGCGCGUAGGCGGCCUGCUAAGUCGAACGUGAAAUCCCCGGGCUCAACCCGGGAACUGCGUCCGAUACUGGUGGGCUUGAAUCCGGGAGAGGGAUGUGGAAUUCCAGGUGUAGCGGUGAAAUGCGUAGAUAUCUGGAGGAACACCGGUGGCGAAGGCGGCAUCCUGGACCGGUAUUGACGCUGAGGCGCGAAAGCUAGGGGAGCAAACGGG
rnacentral:rRNA from 1 species